rnacentral:rRNA from 1 species
UAGGGAAUCUUCCACAAUGGACGCAAGUCUGAUGGAGCAACGCCGCGUGAGUGAAGAAGGUUUUCGGAUCGUAAAGCUCUGUUGUUGGUGAAGAAGGAUAGAGGCAGUAACCGGUCUUUAUUUGACGGUAAUCAACCAGAAAGUCACGGCUAACUACGUGCCAGCAGCCGCGGUAAUACGUAGGUGGCAAGCGUUGUCCGGAUUUAUUGGGCGUAAAGCGAGCGCAGGCGGAAUGAUAAGUCUGAUGUGAAAGCCCACGGCUCAACCGUGGAACUGCAUCGGAAACUGUCAUUCUUGAGUGCAGAAGAGGAGAGUGGAACUCCAUGUGUAGCGGUGGAAUGCGUAGAUAUAUGGAAGAACACCAGUGGCGAAGGCGGCUCUCUGGUCUGCAACUGACGCUGAGGCUCGAAAAGCAUGGGUAGCGAACAGGAUUAGAUACCCUGGUAGUCCAUGCCGUAAAACGAUGAGCGCUAGGUGUUGGGGACUUUCCGGUCCUCAGUGCCGCAGCAAAACGCAUUAAGCGCUCCGCCUGGGGAGUACGACCGC